rnacentral:rRNA from 1 species
AACGUAGGUGGCGAGCGUUAUCCGGAUUUACUGGGCGUAAAGCGUGUGCAGGCGGGAUAACAAGUGGUGUAUGAAAUCGCUCGGCUAAACCGGGCGGGGUUAUGCCAGACUGUUAUUCUAGAGUGCGAGAGAGGGGCGUGGAAUUCCGGGUGUAGUGGUGAAAUGCGUAGAGAUCCGGAGGAACCCCAGAGGCGAAGGCGGCGCCCUGGCUCGCAACUGACGCUCAGACACGACAGCAUGGGGAGCGGAACGGGAAUAGAUACCC